ensembl:lncRNA LINC01572 long intergenic non-protein coding RNA 1572
ACAGUGAUGUUGCCACAAGCCAAGAAAUGCCAAGAAUUUCGGGAGCCACCAGAAGAUGGAAGAGGCAGGGAAAAAUCCUCCCCUAAAGCCUUCAGAGAGAGCAUAGCUCUGCCAACACCUUGAUUCUGGACAUCUAGCCUCUUAAACUGUGUCUCAUUUCUUCUGUCUCAGAAGUCAUGGAUGUCAAUGAAGAUAUGGAAUUCACUUAUUCAUUCUUAUAAAUAUUACUUAGUGUCCUUGUGCUUGGCACUGUGCUUGGUCAUUGAGAUCUACUGUUCAAAAGCAAGAUAACAUACAGGCUGGAAUAGCGAGAUGCAAGAAUCCCAAGCCUUCAAAGCCAGCUCCUGCAGAAGAGAGAGGGCCUGGCAGCUGAGCUGGAUGCUUCAGGAGCAGAGGAUCUAUCAACUGCAGACCAAGCACAGGGAGACGCAGGCAAACCUGGAACAGUAACCCAGCCAGCUCCAAUUGCUCCGACAGUACUUGGUGGCCAGAGAGUCGGCAGCAGAAAGCAUGCCCCGGGCCGUGAAGCAGGAAAUCGACUCUGACUCAAUCCUUGAGUAUUACAUCUGGGAGUACAACUUGAAGGGCCCCACACUCUUGUUUCUCAGCACCUCAUAAAUCUAAGCCCACGUGAAGUGAACAGAGCAUCCCUUCUUCAAGAGAAUGGAAAAAGAAAGGAUGCUGAGGAGGAACUGUUGGGGGCAGAGCCCUUGAAGCCAGCUGGCAAGACUGAGACCACUGAUCAAUGCUUUGCCCACUGAAAGGACAACCUUAUAAAGAAUUGGAACCAUUAAGCUUUAAUUUUUAGAAAUUUGGAUGCUAGAGGGAAUGGUCUUUAGGGACCGCUGCGGUCCCUAAACCCAUCAUCUGCUCUGGUGCCAGGAUACAAAUCUGUUCGCCCUGAAUCCUUCAUCUGCUUGGAUGUCCAGGAUACAAUCUUUUCAGUUUGGGAACUUCUGACUGUUUUUCUCAGGUGUCUGCCUUGCUUCAAUGCUUAUAUCUUGAACAUUGUGUCUUUACGUGUCUGCCUUCGGCAGGUUUCAUUAAUUUGUAAUUUAUGCCUACAAAAUUGUUUAAGCACUUCUGGAUCUUACACUGGUCAAGGGUGUGUAUUAGUGGGUGUGUGUGCACUAUACAGACUGUGGGGCAGAAUCUACUGGGUUUUGUUUUUCCUGAUUUUAAAAUGUUUAGUCAUUCUGAUCCAUACGUGUGAGUUAAUAAGUGUGUGUCUCUGUAUCUUGGUGCAAGUGUCUGUACUCGGGAAGCAGUGAACACAAGCAGUUUAGAAUAGUAUUCCACAUUUCUCUACCAUUUGCAUUAACUGUGUCUUUCCAAAAUGCAUAUUCAGCUUCAUUUUUUUUUUUUAUUCAGAGGUGGUAGUUUUCAAACUCAAAUCUAGCUCAUUUGUCUCUUUUAGCACAUGAUUGAGGAUUAGGGACUAUUCUAACUGGCAGUCAAGGGUCAGUAUUUUGGACUCCAUUUGGCUUAGAUAAUUUAUAUAGAAUAAAAGUCUAACAGGUAUAAUCACAAUAGCCUUGGCUUAAUAAUUUUCCAAGCAUACUUGAAGUUGAAAAACACUUCAAACUAAAAUUGGAAGAAUGUUCUGGUUAGUAAGUUGUAUGCUUCUGUAAUAAUGGAGAGAAUUGGAAUGCAGUUCUCUUUGUUUGAUUUAUAUGGCAACACCAAGAAUGUGAGACGUGUGUUUUACUGUAGAAAUAAACUUUCAACAUUGACCUAGAGAACAGAAGACUCAGGUUGGUACUUAAAUCCUGCUCUGCUAGGUUAUAAUGAAAAGCAUCUUAAUAAGAAUAGAUUUUUUAGGAAGAAAAAUCUUAAGAUUCAUGUCUUUCUCUCAUUGUUUGCAAUAUUUGUCAACAUUUGCUUGCAUGAUUCCUACGAAGAACAAGCUUAUUUGGAGAAAGUGAUCUAAAUUUUAGAAUUGAAUGUACUCCACUAAUUAAAUGUGUAUGUCCUUGUGAUCUUAGUGCCACUAAAUCUAAAUAGCACAUACGUAAAUUCACUGCUGUCUUAUGCUACAAGUCAUAUUUGAAAGCUUGUUGCCAGCCCUAAGAAAGUGAUUUUAUUAUGGAGUUAUCUAAUGGCUUCAGAUAACACGUUUCAUUGUCUACAGUCUUGUAAGAAUUUAACUCUUAUGUUAUAGAUAUUUCAUAUGCUACAUUUACAUUUUAUAUUUUAUACAUAUAGAGAUCUUUAAAAUUCUAUCUGUCUAAAAGGUUUCCUCUUCAAUGUAUUUUAUAAUACAAUGAUAGAAAAUUUCACUUUAUUUCUAUAUUCAAAACAUAAAGUGUUAUAAUAUUGAUAUUUCACCUUUAUUUCCAUUUUAAUAACAUGUAUUAUGUUUCAAACCUUUCUAAGCAUCUUGACAUACUCAUUUGAUCUUUAGAGCAAUUUACAAGAUAAGUUAGAGCAGAAGUCAUUAUCUUCAUUUUACCAAUAAUAAAACAUGCACAAGGUGACACAGAUAUUAGUGUCAGACUUGAAGCUGUGGCCUGAAGCUAAGGACUCCUGGUCAAGUACUCUUUCCACAGCUACUGCUGCUUCUGUUAAUGUUUGAUAACUUUUUAGCAUACUCUGUAUUUCCAGUACCUAUUAUAACCAUUACAAUGCAUGUAACGCAAAUGUUGGUUGCUCUUAGACGAUCCUUAGCAUUCUAACCACAUAAGAAAAAGUAGCAAAUAAGUAUUUCAGGCAUCUUUCUUGGGCUUUUAUCACAGCACAACCUGCUGCAGAGUCUGAUGUCAUGAUGGACCUUUAUUGUCAGCUUCAGAAAUUCUGGGUGAGCUAUUAAUAUGCUUAAUGAUUUUGCUCCCCAGCAACAUGUUCCUAUGAAAACAUGGUGAGUAUAUAUUACUCACUAUGUUUCACAAAACAAUUGUGUACAUAUUUUGUCUUCAUACCUAUCAACAUUUGCCUUAAAGACACAUUAUGUAUAAUUUGAAACAUCCAUGAGGCUUUUCCUUUUCCUGGAAUAACUAGCACCCCUUCUCCAACCUCUUCCCCAUUCAGGGGUUCUUGACCUUCACUGUGUUAUGGACCCCACUGCCAAUCUGCCAUAGACCUAAAGCCUAUGGACCUUUCUUAGUAUAAUGCUUUUAAAUAUAUAAAAUAA